AUACGGAGGGAGCUAGCGUUGUUCGGAAUUACUGGGCGUAAAGCGCACGUAGGCGGUUAUUCAAGUCAGAGGUGAAAGCCCGGGGCUCAACCCCGGAACUGCCUUUGAAACUAGAUGACUGGAAUCUUGGAGAGGUCAGUGGAAUUCCGAGUGUAGAGGUGAAAUUCGUAGAUAUUCGGAAGAACACCAGUGGCGAAGGCGACUGACUGGACAAGUAUUGACGCUGAGGUGCGAAAGCGUGGGGAGC
rnacentral:rRNA from 1 species